AAAGAGAAGAAAAUAUAACUAGGGAGAAGUGAAUGUAACUAGGUAAAAAAUAAUUACCAGGAAACAAUGGAUAUUCUCGAAUAAUCAUCGUCGGUGUAAAUUUCAUGGGCGCACGUGACACGAUUCGACGCAUAAACCGACGCGCGCAUAACCGAACCGGAAAUGGCGCAUUGUGCGGUAUAUCCCUGUGCCGAGAUAUCUGCGAUUCUGGGGUUGGAAGGCAUUCGAACGCCGCGUAUGCAGGUGAUUGCGCCCGCCUGUGCAAUGCGACUCGAACCAGGCAUUUCGAUAUUAGAAUAGCAAUGAGUUAAUAAAGGAGCGUUUCCAAGAUGUUUGUGCGAACGCGAGAAAAUCCCGAUUUUUCAUCGCUUCGAAGCUUGGAUGUAUGGAUUGA